rnacentral:rRNA from 1 species
GACGUAGGGUGCGAGCGUUGUCCGGAUUUAUUGGGCGUAAAGAGCUCGUAGGCGGCUCGUCGCGUCGACCGUGAAAACCCGCAGCUUAACUGCGGGCUUGCGGUUGAUACGGGCGGGCUAGAGUUCGGUAGGGGAGACUGGAAUUCCUGGUGUAGCGGUGAAAUGCGCAGAUAUUAGGAGGAACACCGGUGGCGAAGGCGGGUCUCUGGGCCGAUACUGACGCUGAGGAGCGAAAGCGUGGGGAGCGAACAGG